AAAUUGAAGAGUUUGAUCAUGGCUCAGAUUGAACGCUGGCGGCAGGCCUAACACAUGCAAGUCGAACGGUAACAGGAAGCGCUUGCUGCUUCGCUGACGAGUGGCGGACGGGUGAGUAAUGUCUGGGAAACUGCCUGAUGGAGGGGGAUAACUACUGGAAACGGUAGCUAAUACCGCAUA
rnacentral:rRNA from 1 species